rnacentral:rRNA from 1 species
UACAGAGGUCCCAAGCGUUGUUCGGAUUCAUUGGGCGUAAAGGGUGUGUAGGUGGCGCCGUAAGUCGGGUGUGAAAUCUCGGGGCUUAACUCCGAAACUGCAUUCGAUACUGCGGUGCUUGAGGACUGGAGAGGAGACUGGAAUUCAUGGUGUAGCAGUGAAAUGCGUAGAGAUCAUGAGGAAUACCAGAGGCGAAGGCGGCUACCUGGACAAUUGCUGACGCUCAGGCACGAAAGCGUGGGGAGCAAAAGGG